CCCUUAGACGUUCUGGGCCGCACGCGCGCUACACUGACCAGUGCAACAAGCAUCCGUCCUUGGCCGACAGGCUCGGGCAAUCUUUGAACGCUGGUCGUGAUGGGGAUAGACUUUUGCAAUUUUUGGUCUUCAACGAGGAAUUCCCAGUAAACGCAAGUCAUCAACUUGCAUUGAUUACGUCCCUGCCCUUUGUACACACCGCCCGUCGCACCUACCGAUUGAAUGAUCCGGUGAGGCCCCCGGACUGUGGCGACGCAGCUGGUUCUCCAGCCGCGAUGCCGCGGGAAGCUGUCCAAACCUUAUCAUUUAGAGGAAGGAGAAGUCGUAACA
rnacentral:rRNA from 1 species